rnacentral:rRNA from 1 species
UUAAGCGACUAAGCGUACACGGUGGAUGCCCUGGCAGUCAGAGGCGAUGAAGGACGUGCUAAUCUGCGAUAAGCGUCGGUAAGGUGAUAUGAACCGUUAUAACCGGCGAUUUCCGAAUGGGGAAACCCAGUGUGUUUCGACACACUAUCAUUAACUGAAUCCAUAGGUUAAUGAGGCGAACCGGGGGAACUGAAACAUCUAAGUACCCCGAGGAAAAGAAAUCAACCGAGAUUCCCCCAGUAGCGGCGAGCGAACGGGGAGCAGCCCAGAGCCUGAAUCAGUGUGUGUGUUAGUGGAAGCGUCUGGAAAGGCGCGCGAUACAGGGUGACAGCCCCGUACACAAAAAUGCACAUGCUGUGAGCUCGAUGAGUAGGGCGGGACACGUGGUAUCCUGUCUGAAUAUGGGGGGACCAUCCUCCAAGGCUAAAUACUCCUGACUGACCGAUAGUGAACCAGUACCGUGAGGGAAAGGCGAAAAGAACCCCGGCGAGGGGAGUGAAAAAGAACCUGAAACCGUGUACGUACAAGCAGUGGGAGCACAGAGCAAUCUGUGUGACUGCGUACCUUUUGUAUAAUGGGUCAGCGACUUAUAUUCUGUAGCAAGGUUAACCGAAUAGGGGAGCCGAAGGGAAACCGAGUCUUAACUGGGCGUUAAGUUGCAGGGUAUAGACCCGAAACCCGGUGAUCUAGCCAUGGGCAGGUUGAAGGUUGGGUAACACUAACUGGAGGACCGAACCGACUAAUGUUGAAAAAUUAGCGGAUGACUUGUGGCUGGGGGUGAAAGGCCAAUCAAACCGGGAGAUAGCUGGUUCUCCCCGAAAGCUAUUUAGGUAGCGCCUCGUGAAUUCAUCUCCGGGGGUAGAGCACUGUUUCGGCAAGGGGGUCAUCCCGACUUACCAACCCGAUGCAAACUGCGAAUACCGGAGAAUGUUAUCACGGGAGACACACGGCGGGUGCUAACGUCCGUCGUGAAGAGGGAAACAACCCAGACCGCCAGCUAAGGUCCCAAAGUCAUGGUUAAGUGGGAAACGAUGUGGGAAGGCCCAGACAGCCAGGAUGUUGGCUUAGAAGCAGCCAUCAUUUAAAGAAAGCGUAAUAGCUCACUGGUCGAGUCGGCCUGCGCGGAAGAUGUAACGGGGCUAAACCAUGCACCGAAGCUGCGGCAGCGACGCUUAUGCGUUGUUGGGUAGGGGAGCGUUCUGUAAGCCUGCGAAGGUGUGCUGUGAGGCAUGCUGGAGGUAUCAGAAGUGCGAAUGCUGACAUAAGUAACGAUAAAGCGGGUGAAAAGCCCGCUCGCCGGAAGACCAAGGGUUCCUGUCCAACGUUAAUCGGGGCAGGGUGAGUCGACCCCUAAGGCGAGGCCGAAAGGCGUAGUCGAUGGGAAACAGGUUAAUAUUCCUGUACUUGGUGUUACUGCGAAGGGGGGACGGAGAAGGCUAUGUUGGCCGGGCGACGGUUGUCCCGGUUUAAGCGUGUAGGCUGGUUUUCCAGGCAAAUCCGGAAAAUCAAGGCUGAGGCGUGAUGACGAGGCACUACGGUGCUGAAGCAACAAAUGCCCUGCUUCCAGGAAAAGCCUCUAAGCAUCAGGUAACAUCAAAUCGUACCCCAAACCGACACAGGUGGUCAGGUAGAGAAUACCAAGGCGCUUGAGAGAACUCGGGUGAAGGAACUAGGCAAAAUGGUGCCGUAACUUCGGGAGAAGGCACGCUGAUAUGUAGGUGAAGUCCCUUGCGGAUGGAGCUGAAAUCAGUCGAAGAUACCAGCUGGCUGCAACUGUUUAUUAAAAACACAGCACUGUGCAAACACGAAAGUGGACGUAUACGGUGUGACGCCUGCCCGGUGCCGGAAGGUUAAUUGAUGGGGUUAGCGCAAGCGAAGCUCUUGAUCGAAGCCCCGGUAAACGGCGGCCGUAACUAUAACGGUCCUAAGGUAGCGAAAUUCCUUGUCGGGUAAGUUCCGACCUGCACGAAUGGCGUAAUGAUGGCCAGGCUGUCUCCACCCGAGACUCAGUGAAAUUGAACUCGCUGUGAAGAUGCAGUGUACCCGCGGCAAGACGGAAAGACCCCGUGAACCUUUACUAUAGCUUGACACUGAACAUUGAGCCUUGAUGUGUAGGAUAGGUGGGAGGCUUUGAAGUGUGGACGCCAGUCUGCAUGGAGCCGACCUUGAAAUACCACCCUUUAAUGUUUGAUGUUCUAACGUUGACCCGUAAUCCGGGUUGCGGACAGUGUCUGGUGGGUAGUUUGACUGGGGCGGUCUCCUCCUAAAGAGUAACGGAGGAGCACGAAGGUUGGCUAAUCCUGGUCGGACAUCAGGAGGUUAGUGCAAUGGCAUAAGCCAGCUUGACUGCGAGCGUGACGGCGCGAGCAGGUGCGAAAGCAGGUCAUAGUGAUCCGGUGGUUCUGAAUGGAAGGGCCAUCGCUCAACGGAUAAAAGGUACUCCGGGGAUAACAGGCUGAUACCGCCCAAGAGUUCAUAUCGACGGCGGUGUUUGGCACCUCGAUGUCGGCUCAUCACAUCCUGGGGCUGAAGUAGGUCCCAAGGGUAUGGCUGUUCGCCAUUUAAAGUGGUACGCGAGCUGGGUUUAGAACGUCGUGAGACAGUUCGGUCCCUAUCUGCCGUGGGCGCUGGAGAACUGAGGGGGGCUGCUCCUAGUACGAGAGGACCGGAGUGGACGCAUCACUGGUGUUCGGGUUGUCAUGCCAAUGGCACUGCCCGGUAGCUAAAUGCGGAAGAGAUAAGUGCUGAAAGCAUCUAAGCACGAAACUUGCCCCGAGAUGAGUUCUCCCUGACUCCUUGAGAGUCCUGAAGGAACGUUGAAGACGACGACGUUGAUAGGCCGGGUGUGUAAGCGCAGCGAUGCGUUGAGCUAACCGGUACUAAUGAACCGUGAGGCUUAACCUU